AUUGAACGCUGGCGGCAUGCCUUACACAUGCAAGUCGAACGGCAGCACGGGUGCUUGCACCUGGGGGCGAGUGGCGAACGGGUGAGUAAUAUAUCGGAACGUACCUUAUUGUGGGGGAUAACGCAGCGAAAGCUGUGCUAAUACCGCAUAAUCCCUAAGGGGGAAAGCGGGGGACCGUAAGGCCUCGCGCAAUUAGAGCGGCCGAUACCUGAUUAGCUAGUUGGUGAGGUAAAGGCUCACCAAGGCAACGAUCAGUAGCUGGUCUGAGAGGACGAUCAGCCACACUGUGACUGAGACACGGCCCAGACUCCUACGGGAGGCAGCAGUGGGGAAUUUUGGACAAUGGGGGCAACCCUGAUCCAGCAAUGCCGCGUGAGUGAAGAAGGCCUUCGGGUUGUAAAGCUCUUUUGUCAGGGAAGAAACAGCAGCUCUAACACAGUUUGCGAAUGACGGUACCUGAAGAAUAAGCACCGGCUAACUACGUGCCAGCAGCCGCAGUAA
rnacentral:rRNA from 1 species